rnacentral:misc_RNA from 1 species
GAUGAAGAACGCAGUGAAAUGCGAUACGUAAUGUGAAUUGCAGAAUUCAGUGAAUCAUCGAGUCUUUGAACGCACAUUGCGCCCCCUGGUAUUCCGGGGGGCAUGCCUGUCCGAGCGUCAUUGCUGCCCUCAAGCACGGCUUGUGUGUUGGGCCCCGUCCUCCGAUUCCGGGGGACGGGCCCGAAAGGCAGCGGCGGCACCGCGUCCGGUCCUCGAGCGUAUGGGGCUUUGUCACCCGCUCUGUAGGCCCGGCCGGCGCUUGCCGAUCAACCCAAAUUUUUAUCCAGGUUGACCUCGGAUCAGGUAGGGAUACCCGCUGAACUUAAGCAUAUCAAUAAGCGGAGGA